AGCGAACGCUGGCGGCAGGCUUAACACAUGCAAGUCGAGCGGGCACUUCGGUGUCAGCGGCCGACGUGUGAUUAACACGUGGUAACUUACCCUUUGGUUCGUACUAUCGCUUGGAAACUAGCGCUAAUACCGUUUACGCCCUUUUGGGUAAAGGCUUGCUGCCGAAGGAUCGGCCCGCGUCUGAUUAGCUAGUUGGUGGGGUAAUGGCCUACCAAGGUGAUGAUCAGUAUCUGGUCUGAGAGGAUGAUCAGCCACACUGGGACUGAGACACGGCCCAGACUCAUACGGGAGGCAGCAGAAGGGAAAAUUAGACAAGGGGCGCAAGACUGAAACAGCCAUGCCGCGUAAAGGAUGAAGGGCAGAGGGUAGUAAAGCGCAGUUGACAGGGACGAUAAUGACGGUACCGGAAGAAGAAGCACCGGCUAACUUCGUG
rnacentral:rRNA from 1 species